UUGGGCUCGCCAAGCAGGACGACAUUGGA
rnacentral:piRNA from 1 species